GACGAACUUUGGCGGCGUGGCUAAUACAUGCAAGUUGAGCGCUGAAGGUUGGUACUUGUACCGACUGGAUGAGCAGCGAACGGGUGAGUAACGCGUGGGGAAUCUGCCUUUGAGCGGGGGACAACAUUUGGAAACGAAUGCUAAUACCGCAUAAAAACUUUAAACACAAGUAUUAAGUUUGAAAGAUGCAAUUGCAUCACUCAAAGAUGAUCCCGCGUUGUAUUAGCUAGUUGGUGAGGUAAAGGCUCACCAAGGCGAUGAUACAUAGCCGACCUGAGAGGGUGAUCGGCCACAUUGGGACUGAGACACGGCCCAAACUCCUACGGGAGGCAGCAGUAGGGAAUCUUCGGCAAUGGACGAAAGUCUGACCGAGCAACGCCGCGUGAGUGAAGAAGGUUUUCGGAUCGUAAAACUCUGUUGGUAGAGAAGAACGUUGGUGAGAGUGGAAAGCUCAUCAAGUGACGGUAACUACCCAGAAAGGGACGGCUAACUACGUGCCAGCAGCCGCGGUAAUACGUAGGUGCCGAGCGUUGUCCGGAUUAAUUGGGCGUAAAGCGAGCGCAGGUGGUUUAUUAAGUCUGGUGUAAAAGGCAGUGGCUCAUCCAUUGUAUGCAUUGGAAACUGGUAGACUUGAGUGCAGGAGAGGAGAGUGGAAUUCCAUGUGUAGCGGUGAAAUGCGUAGAUAUAUGGUGGAACACCGGUGGCGAAAGCGGCUCUCUGGCCUGUAAAUGACACUGAGGCUCGAAAGCGUGGGGAGCAAACAGGAUUAGAUACCCUGGUAGUCCACGCCGUAAACGAUGAGUGCUAGAUAUAGGGAGCUAUAAGUUCUCUGUAUCGCAGCUAACGCAAUAAGCACUCCGCCUGGGGAGUACGACCGCAAGGUUGAAACUCAAAGGAAUUGACGGGGGCCCGCACAAGCGGUGGAGCAUGUGGUUUAAUUCGAAGCAACGCGAAGAACCUUACCAGGUCUUGACAUACUCGUGCUAUUCCUAGAGAUAGGAAGUUCCUUCGGGACACUGGAUACAGGUGGUGCAUGGUUGUCGUCAGUUCGUGUCGUGAUAU
rnacentral:rRNA from 1 species